AACAACCCUAACCCCCCACAAAGCCAAAUUCAUUUUCGUAAGUUGGAGUUACCCUCACCCCCUUUCUCCUCCAAUGAACCCUUCCUCCUGUUCUCUUCCGGCAAAGAUGGCUGGAGCCCGACCCGCCGCCGGAAGGACCUGAGCUUGUCAGCUGUUUUUGGUGGGACCGAGGAAGGCGAGUCGGCAGCGAUCCGUGGUUGAUGUUCGUCGUCCCGUGACGGACCCCGUGAUUUGUGGCGCCGCUGCGGAAUCCACGUCUGGGGUUGUGCGUCGACCCGGUGCCGGCUUUCUGUGUUUGGUCGCCGGUGUUUGUGGGUGCACGGAUUAGGGUGGUCAACAAUGGCUUCCACAAGUAGAAGAACUACAAGUGGUACGUACGGCAGCGGGAACACAACGGGAGACCGUUUUUGUGAGUGUGGGUUAAGAGCACCGUUGCAAGUUUCCAAUAGCGUGGCCAACCCGGGUAGAAAGUAUUACGCGUGUCCAACAAGGAGAUGUGGAUGGUUCAGGUGGGCAGGUCCAAAUACCCAGCAUUCUGACAUUGGAGAGGAUCGAUCUUCUCAGCUUAACUUUAAUUUUAAGACGACCGAACGAGUGGAAAAACUUCAUGCUGAUGUUGUGUAUCUGAAGUUUCUAUCAUGCGUUCAGCUUGUUGUUUCCGGUCUUUGUAUUGUGUUGAUCAUUGUGGUGUUGUGUAAGUUGUAGUAUGGGCUUUGAACUCAAAUAGGCAUUUCAGAAAUUGUAAUAACAGUAGCACAUAUUUGGCACUUUUCAUCUUGGACAUGUUGAGACAUUCAAAAGUUAUACUUUAUGGAUAAUCUUUUUUCCUUUUUUUAGC